UUGAACGCUGGCGGAAUGCUUUACACAUGCAAGUCGAGCGGCAGCGCGGGGGCAACCCUGGCGGCGAGCGGCGAACGGGUGAGUAAUGUAUCGGAACGUACCCUGUCGUGGGGGAUAACACAGCGAAAGCUGUGCUAAUACCGCAUACGACCUGAGGGUGAAAGCGGGGGAUCGCAAGACCUCGCGCGAUAGGAGCGGCCGAUAUCGGAUUAGCUAGUUGGUGAGGUAAAGGCUCACCAAGGCGACGAUCCGUAGCUGGUCUGAGAGGACGACCAGCCACACUGGAACUGAGACACGGUCCAGACUCCUACGGGAGGCAGCAGUGGGGAAUUUUGGACAAUGGGCGCAAGCCUGAUCCAGCCAUACCGCGUGAGUGAAGAAGGCCUUCGGGUUGUAAAGCUCUUUCAGCCGGAAAGAAAUCGUACAGAUUAACACUCUGUAUGGAUGACGGUACCGGAAGAAGAAGCACCGGCUAACUACGU
rnacentral:rRNA from 1 species